rfam:Gossypium hirsutum cultivar TM-1 chromosome 13, whole genome shotgun sequence
CUUUAAAAAUUUCAUUCAUUUCUAUUGUUAAAAAUUAAUCCAUGUACAUUAGAAUGAAGUACACAUGGCACGCCAUGUGUAAUUUUCUGAUUAUUCUAUUAGCAACAAUAGUUUUUAACAAUAGAAAUUGAUUGAAUUUUUAGUA